rnacentral:rRNA from 1 species
GAUGAACGCUGGCGGCGUGCCUAAUACAUGCAAGUCGAACGAAGCCUUCGGGCUUAGUGGCGGACGGGUGAGUAACACGUUGGUACCUGCCUCGAAGUGGGGAAUAACUGGCCGAAAGGUCGGCUAAUACCGCAUGUGAUCGCAAGAUCAAAGUCGUAAGACGCUUCGAGAGGGGCCUGCGUCCCAUUAGCUAGUUGGUAGGGUAAUGGCCUACCAAGGCGACGAUGGGUAGCUGGAUCGAGAGGUUGACCAGCCACACUGGGACUGAGAUACGGCCCAGACUCCUACGGGAGGCAGCAGUAAGGAAUCUUCCACAAUGGACGAAAGUCUGAUGGAGCAACGCCGCGUGCAGGAUGACGGCCUUCGGGUUGUAAACUGCUUUUAUAUGGGAAGAUUAUGACGGUACCAUAUGAAUAAGGACCGGCUAACUACGUGCCAGCAGCAGCCGCGG